rnacentral:tRNA from 1 species
GGGGGUGUAGUUCAGUGGUAGAGCAUGUGCUUAGCAUACGCACAGACCUGAGUUCAAUACCCAGCACUUCAA